rnacentral:rRNA from 1 species
AUACGGAGGAUCCGAGCGUUAUCCGGAUUUAUUGGGUUUAAAGGGUGCGCAGGCGGGAGAUUAAGUCGGCGGUGAAAUUUUUCAGCCCAAAUGUAAAAGUGCCUUCGAAACUGGUUUCCUUGUGUGUAGAUGAAGUAGGCGGAAUUUGUGGUGUAGCGGUGAAAUGCAUAGAUAUCACGAGGAACUCCGAUUGCGCAGGCAGCUUACUAAACUACUACUGACGCUCAGGCACGAAGGCGUGGGGAUCAAACAGGAUUAGAUACCCUGGUAGUCCACGCAGUAAACGAUGAUUACUAGCUGUUUGCGAUACAAUGUAAGCGGCUGAGCGAAAGCGUUAAGUAAUCCACCUGGGGAGUACGUUCGCAAGAAUGAAACUCAAAGGAAUUGGCGGGG